UCGAUACACUCUUGAUAGCACAUCUGUACCGAUGCAAUGAGUUUUUAAGUGCUCAUUUCACUUCUGAAACCAACAAGUUUUCAAUUUGUGCGCCCCAUGUCGAGCCCAUGUUCUUGGGAGAUUCUCGAGAAUUACCACCACGCUUCAGUUCAAAUCAUCUCUUGUUUCGCAUUUUUUUAAUUGCACAAAUGUGAAAAUUUCCUGGAGCUCUUGUAUACCUCCUACCUGCUCGUCGAUUCGAUGGCGCUCUAUAUUGUACGUAUGCGUGUUGAAUGCACAUGUGUGUGUAUGCUCAUGCUCAACGUUCUGAAACGAUCCCCGUUCUGUUGGUAUUCGAAUUCGCGAACGCGAACUACCAGUCAAGGUCAUCACGAUUCGUCGCUCUUUUUCCACUCCACCACCCCGGUGUCGGUGGUUUCCCACUGACUGCUGAACUGAAUGCUUAUCGCGUUUCCAUACGCUCGCGGUUGUAGUAUCAGCAGAAGCUCGCUGGAGGUUCUCGCCAAAAGCGAGUGAUCCUCCCGGCCGGCCGCCGGCUUGGGCUUGGGAUUUUAUGGAGACAGAAUUAUUCAUGAGAAAGUCGUCGUCGUUGCAUUCCUUCCACUGGUGGAGGAGAGAUCCUAAUCGGAUGGGGAACAUUCACUUUCAGGUAGGAAAGCUGCUGCGUCAGCAUCAGUGAUGAGGAAACUCAUCCCAAUUAAGGAUUGAAAUGGAAGCAUUGCUCGUGAUUAGGUUGGAUACGUGACAUUGCGUGACACGACUGGAAAGUAGGGUUGUUCCGUUAAAUGUGAUUUUUUACUGUCUUUUUGAUGUGUGAAAAGAGCAAUUCAGUUUAAGAACCCAACGUGAUACCAACUAUUUAUAAUGAUGGGCUAUUAUUUUUAAAGUAUAUGCAUAAUCAUUUUUCAUCUUCAGUGAAAGAAAAUAUCACGGAUUUUCAUGGAAAAAAAUGUCGUGACAUUUUUCAGUUUUACCAUUUUUAGUGCGAAUUUAUAUUAAUGAACAGCGCCGAUUUAUAAUGAUGGUUAUUUAUGUUGUCGAUAAGCAUUUUUUAAUCAAGAACAGUGAAAUUAACAAAUAGCAAAAUGAUAUUUUUAUGACAUUUUCUCAUCCAUUAGUAUACCAAAAAUGUCUCAGAAAAAAUGUUUGGUGAUGACAUUUUUCGUGAUAUUUCGUGAUAAGUUUAAUUGUGAAAUUCAUUUCAUUUUAGUAGAACUAUGGUUGGACUACUACAUAUCUACUGAUAACCAUGGCACAUCUACAGUCAGUAUUCGCUUUUUCUAGUUGAAGGAUAUAGCUUCGACAAUGAUAUGUGGUUCUCAUCCAGCACCUAAUUUGCCACCGUGCAUGCAAUUUUCAAUGUGUGUGAAAUAUUUUUUGCGAACGUGCCAUGCUGAGCAAACAGAGAUAAGCCAUAGGCGCCGCGAUGACGAUGGCGUAUCUCAAAUUCAAAUAAAAAAAAAUAAAAGCUUCAAACGUAGUCUGUCCAAAAUCCAUACUCCGGUUGUCGUAUGCCCUUUGCACCGCUGGCUGUGCUACCCGACAUUGAGAAGCAAAAUAAUAAAAAAUGAGUUCAUUUUUUGUAGUAUCAUAUUUCACGUCUUAGUUGUUGGAAGAGAGAAACAACCGAAAAGGAUGAUUGAGGUAAUGUCAUAAAAAGUAGGGGUAUAAGUGUGCGGUAUGGAGUCGGUGCUAAUGAAGAUUGACAUUUUUGCUGAUAGCAUAAGGCGUUUCCGAAUCGAGUGUCGAAUGGUGCGGUGUCUAAUUAAUCGAAGUCAUAAAAUGAUUCUUGUUAUACUUGUCGUUGUUGAACGUUAAUUGAUAGCAAUCCCAAAAAAAUAA